GUGAGCAAAUUUUCAGGUGUGU
rnacentral:miRNA from 2 species